GGGGGAGCCCCCAUACUCACACAAGCCAUGAUUGAAGAGAGGAGGAUGUUCCUGGAACUUCGGCACCAGCUGUCCGAAGACUGCAGGAGAAAUGGGUUUCGGGCCGCUCCCACCCUUUUAACGGGACCAGACCCCGUUCCCCGACCAAGGAUUGAACCCGUGCCAACUGCAGUGAACGGGCAGAGUCUUAACCACUGGACUGCCAGGGAAGUUCCAGAAGCACUGAAGAGCUAAGAUGUGGACCAGGGGUGACUCACAUCUGGAGGCCCUGCCCCGAGCUCGCUGCCUCCCCAGCCCCCAUCUUCCUCCAGAGACUGAGGCCCAUGCUGGCACAGGAGGAGAGGGGAGGGCACGGGGCUGAGAGGCAGACCCAGAGAGGGCCUCCUUCCAAACCUCCGAAUUCGGGAGGGGUGGGUGGUGCCCAGCUCCACUGCUCCCCCUCUGAGGCCCACAGACACCCUCUCUGCCUGGACAAGGAAUGAGGGUAUUUCAGGAGGAGCCCUGGACCAAAGCCAGAGAUGCUUCAGAUGCAAGCCCUGCUGUGACAGCCAUCAGGAAUCCCCAAGCUACACAGUUUGGAGAGCUUCUAGGUUGGUGAACAUGCCCACAUGUUGGGAGGGUCGCACACCCUAACCCCACCGGGACAGCAGCUCUUCUCUUGGUGCCCUCCAGGACCUCGCCCUGUGUGUGUCUUCAUCUCACUGUUCACCCGUAUGCUCUG